GGGCCCUGGGCCAAGAAGAAAUGGGUCUGGAGCUAAAUGAAAACAGGCUUUUGGAAUGUAAAAAAUGCUAAUAAAAAGGAAGAAUGAGAGCUGUGGCACAGGCACUAUGUGUUUUCUCAGGUAAUAGGAGCUACACACCACUGGAGACACUGAAGGGCUAAUACUGGGGCUUUUGGACAGAUCUUUGAAGACUAACAGCACAACUGCAUCGGAGGCAGCAACCACGGAUGCUCAUAAGUAACGCCUUUCCCAAAGCCCAGUGUUAUGGGAUUCGCUCCUUAUUGGUGGAGAGGACUGCUGGGGCAGAGCUGGCGAAAGUCCAGAGAACUCCUGGCUGCACUAAUCCCCACGUCGGAAUUCUUCAGAGCUAGUUCUCUUUUGGGACUGUUCAAGCACUAGUUUCUCCAAGUUUCCAGUCUUCUGUAUUGUCAAGAAACUUCAGAUGUUUCUGGGGAAGAUGGAAGAGGCCAAAGCCAUUUCAGAUUGCUGAAGGAAAAGACUGGGAAGAUGUGAGAGAAGCUAGCUGGCUCCAUCGCUGUCCCUAGAGCCUUUGGGAAGGUUUCCCCUUGGAGGAAGAUCUAGAACCCUCUUUCCUGUUGGACUUGAGUUACCUAGCUCCCAGCAAGAAGGCGCCUCCCUUCUGUAUUAUUUGGUAUAUAUAUAUUCUCUGAUAGGUACCUUCUCUGAUUUGUCUGGCUGUGCUUUGGAUAAAUGGAUUUCUUUGCUAUUGGCUAUGUGUGAUCAUUAUAAAACUAGUAUUUGGUGGGAAGGGGGUCAAACCUGG
rnacentral:lncRNA from 1 species